CUACCUACCUGAAUGGGGUCAAUGGGUGAUCAUUGAGACCUCUAGCCUAAAACAGUGACCUGCAUUGUACUUAGAAGGAGUGUUGGAAUGUUGUUCAAAAGUCUGUAUAAGUGACAGAGCCUACAUCAUAAUUUAUGGUAAAGGAUACUGCGUUCGCACGAUUCUUAC
rnacentral:snRNA from 1 species